rnacentral:rRNA from 1 species
GUUAUUGAUGAACUUUUGGAUGAACUUGCAGGUUCUGGGUGGUUUUCUAAACUUGAUUUGAGAUCAGGAUAUCAUCAGAUUAGGUUAGCCCCUGGAGAAGAACAUAAAACUGCAUUCCAGACUCAUUUUGGGCACUUUGAGUUUCCGGUCCUUUCCCAAGGAUUGACUGGUGGACGUAACACUUUCAUGUUUGCUAUGAAUGAUACCUUAUCACCCUGUUUGAGGAAAAAUGCAAUUGUUUUCUUUGAUGACAUCUUGGUCUUCAGUGCAUCUUAUGCUUUGCAUCUGCAACACUUCGCAGAAGUGUUGAAACUAUUAAUGCAACACGAAUGGCAUGUCAAAUUGUCUAAAUGCUCUUUUGCUCAG